AUUGAACGCUGGCGGCAUGCCUUACACAUGCAAGUCGAACGGCAGCACGGGGCAACCUGGUGGCGAGUGGCGAACGGGUGAGUAAUGCAUCGGAACGUACCUUUCAGUGGGGGAUAACGUAGCGAAAGUUACGCUGAUACCGCAUAUUCUGUGAGCAGGAAAGCAGGGGAUCGCAAGACCUUGCGCUGAUUGAGCGGCCGAUGUCAGAUUAGCUAGUUGGUGAGGUAAAGGCUCACCAAGGCGACGAUCUGUAGCGGGUCUGAGAGGAUGAUCCGCCACACUGGAACUGAGACACGGUCCAGACUCCUACGGGAGGCAGCAGUGGGGAAUUUUGGACAAUGGGGGCAACCCUGAUCCAGCCAUGCCGCGUGAGUGAAGAAGGCCUUCGGGUUGUAAAGCUCUUUCGGCCGGGGAGAAAUCGCACGGGCUAAUACCCUGUGUGGAUGACGGUACCGGAAUAAGAAGCACCGGCUAACUACGUGCCAGCAGCCGCCGUAA
rnacentral:rRNA from 1 species